GGGGGUGAAAAGGUUUCGACGGGGAUAUAGACCAGGGGUGGCAUACCGAGAAUGUCGGGAAUCUCGUUAAACUUCCGGCAAACUUUAAACGCAAACACUUUGCUUGCGUAAGUCGCCUUGAGCGACACGUUCUGCCGGCUUCUCCUGCAGGGUCGGCAAGGGCGUAAGAUAUGCAGGAUAGUCCUGUGUUAUGUCUGAGGACACAGGGCGAAAACCAAUCAGGCUGGUCCUGUUCUUAUCCCGCAUACAGGAGUGAGCAGGAUGAGAUUAAAUGUAUGCUAAGUAUGUAGAAACCUCUGUUGAGAUAUUUCCGGACGGGGGUUCGAUUCCCCCCACCUCCAUUU
rnacentral:tmRNA from 1 species